rnacentral:rRNA from 1 species
GAGUUUGAUCUUGGCUCAGAUUGAACGCUGGCGGCAGGCCUAACACAUGCAAGUCGAGCGGAUGACGGGAGCUUGCUCCUUGAUUCAGCGGCGGACGGGUGAGUAAUGCCUAGGAAUCUGCCUGGUAGUGGGGGACAACGUUUCGAAAGGAACGCUAAUACCGCAUACGUCCUACGGGAGAAAGCAGGGGACCUUCGGGCCUUGCGCUAUCAGAUGAGCCUAGGUCGGAUUAGCUAGUUGGUGGGGUAAUGGCUCACCAAGGCGACGAUCCGUAACUGGUCUGAGAGGAUGAUCAGUCACACUGGAACUGAGACACGGUCCAGACUCCUACGGGAGGCAGCAGUGGGGAAUAUUGGACAAUGGGCGAAAGCCUGAUCCAGCCAUGCCGCGUGUGUGAAGAAGGUCUUCGGAUUGUAAAGCACUUUAAGUUGGGAGGAAGGGCAGUAAGUUAAUACCUUGCUGUUUUGACGUUACCGACAGAAUAAGCACCGGCUAACUCUGUGCCAGCCGCCGUACCG